GAAAUAGAAGGAUGUGUCUGACAGUGUGAUGUAAAUGCAGGCAUUUUGGAGUCCCUGCUGGAGAACACACAGAGGCCCAGUUUCCUCAACAAUGAAAUGGGACUAAUUAUCCCAGGUCACACUUCUCUCUGGGCUUACCCUGGGAAUCAGAUGAUUGAGCUUUGGAUCUCACUCUGUUGCCCAGGCUGGAAUGCAGUGAUACGAUCAUGACUCACUGCAGCCUCAAACUCCUGGGUUCAAGUAACCCUCCCACCUCAGCUUUCUGAGUAACUGGGACUACAGGACUGGAAACCACGAAGUCAAUUGAAUUGAAUGCACCACAACCCAUCUUCUAGUAAAAUUGAUGCUCCAAGAAGAUACACAACGUUGACCAUGUGGAUUCAGAUAUCUCCCGCUUGGAUCUCAGCCUGGAUCUUGUUGUUUGAGAAGCAUAGAUUAGCUACAGAAUGCCAUGUCAUACAUCCAAUAAAAUUCAACUCUGCAAGCAUGAGAGAGAAGAGGAAGGAAAAGAGAGAAUCUGAAGUAGUUGGAUCACUAGAGGGCAAUAUCGGCCAAGAGAAAGAAGAAUUCUUCACCACCGUUUCUAGGACUGGUGAAGGUGCUGUGCUGGAGAGAGCAUGUGGAGAGACACCACAGAGAGUGAUGUCCAAGGAUCCUCUGCUGUUCUAGCCUCCAGAUGUUUGGUACCAAAUGGAGAGUGAGUGAGGCUUCCAACCCCACCUUUGAGCCACCCCAGCUGAUCCCAGUAGAGCAGAGAUGAGCUGUCCCCACCAAGUCUUGCCCAGAUUGCAGAUCUGUGAACAAAUAAGAAUUUUUGCUUGAAGCCUCUAUGUUUUGGGGUACUUGGUCACGUAGCCCUAGGGCUAACUGAAGUAUAGUGAGAAGUGACAAGAUUCAAGGUUGUAUAGCUGCUUAGGGGAAGAACAAAGAAAGUACACUCUCCUUGCAUUCAAAGGAUAUUUCUUCAAUUUGCUUGCAGUGUGACCUUUGGCAAGCUACUGAACCUCUCUGUGCCUCAGUUUUCUCAUCUGUAUGAUAGGGAUGAAGAUGGUAUUUCUUCAGAAGGUAGUGAUGAGGAAUAAAUAUCUCAUUCUUGGCAUGUAGGAAAAAGCUAGUAAGUAGCUGGGUUGGGGUUUCAAUUCAGGCAGUCUAACCCUAGACUCUUUACUGGUAAGCUCAGGUCCAGAACAUUCCCACCAAUCCCUGAAAAGGAGGCCAGACGGCAAUAUCCCAGGUACUCCCAUUAUUUUCCCCCAUACGGCAUGAUUCUGAGUCCUCCUUGGCCGCCCUUCUCUGUUCACUGGGCCUUGAUACAUGAUUCUCUGAACUGAAGGCCGCACCAUCACUCCUCUCUGUUUAGUGCAGCCCGAGAUUACACUGGCUUUUUUGGCAGUCACAUCACAUUGUUGACUCAUUCUGAGCUGGCAGUCAAAAUCCUAAGUGUUUUUAUCACAUGUGCUAGCAUCAAGCUGCAUUCCUUCCCAUCUAGGAUUGGUGCAAUUGGAGUUUUAAAAAAUCCAACUGCAGAAUUGUUUAGUUUAUUAGAUUUUGCUCAUUGUGGUAGUGUGCCUAGGAAAGAAUCCAGAUGAGCUCCUCUCCAGGGUUCUCGGAGACACCCUGUAUCCUUUUAAUAUACCUUUCCUUUAUUUCUGUAGUCCAUUUGAGUGGCUUACUGGUACUCACAACACAAAAAGUAAGCCAUAGAGUGACUUCUGGGUGGUCCUUGCUCAGGAGGAAAAGAGGUGUGGCAGGGAUGCUGUGGUAGAGGGCAGAGAAAGCAAAUGGCAGGAGCGUGUGCCGGGUGCCACGUCUGAGCCGUGGCAGACCUUGCAGCUGAUCAUGACUCUCUUUUCUGCUGAGUCAGGAAAUGGCCUCUACUUUGAUUAGCUGCCACCUGAAUAGGACAGAGUUGAGGACUGAGGACAGAGACUGCUUUCGAAGUGGACCCUGGCAUAAUUAAUCA
rnacentral:lncRNA from 10 species